GCGGAUGUAGCUCAGCUGGCAGAGCGUCACUCUUCCAAAGUGAAUGUCGCGGGUUCGAUGCCCGCCGUCCGCU
rnacentral:tRNA from 1 species